rnacentral:tRNA from 1 species
GUUCAGGGAUGGGAAUCGAACCCACAGUGUUCCGCUUACCGGGCAGAAGCUAUGUCCACUAGGCUACCCUGGA